CCCAGAAUGGGAGGGACGGGAGGGCCUGCCGGAUGGAAGGAACUGGAGUCUGGGCCAGAAGUGCGGUUUGAGAAAGCGUCUCAGGCUUGGCCCUCCCUAGUUCUCAGGAAGACAAAGGGAGGAAAGGGAGCCACAUCCCCGGAUGUCUCUGCAAGCUUAUAAUAAAACUAGGUUUAGUAUUCAUGACUUUGGUUUCCUAAUCUGGUCUACCUCGAAGGGCUGACAAUGUGCUGUGGGGGCAAGUAGAGGACACUACGUGUCUCUGCUCUUAAGAGGGGAUUCUGAUACCUAUGAUUUAAGCUGACCUGUUUUUGUCUAAAAUCCGCAUUGUUAUUGAACAUCCUGCAAAAUAAAGUAACCUGGCUGAUUUUGCAGACUUCUUCCUUUGGGAAGAUCACUUUCCCUCCCGUAUUUGAUCAAGACACCAGGGUGGAUCAGGGACCUGGGACAGAUUUCUGCACCCUGGUAAGGCAGGAAGCCAUUUGUCCAGAUAGGGCCUUGUGUAAUCCAUGAAGUUUCGGACUAUGUCACACAAACUAUAUAUUGAGUUAUGUUUCAAUUAGUCAGCCAUAUAAAUUGAAUUAAAGAAGUAAAUAUAAAUAAAUAUACCAAGUCAGGUGGCUUUCAACAUCGUGAAAACGAAUCUUACUUAAGGAGAUAAGGACUGCCUUAUCUCAGCCAUCAUAUAUGACAAAGGAAAUCUGCCUUUUCAUUCUGCUAUAAAAAUACAACUACCACAAUAAUUUCUGAGUUUGGGAACUAAUUACAAUGCCCUUAUUUUCUGUGAAAUAAAAAUAUG